CGUCCUGGCGCCGCGAAUAAGUCUCCUCGGGUCCCUCCAUGAAGACACGGAGAUGAAUGCACUUUUUAAACGGGCGUCCCUCCUCAGUCCAUCAGGAUUGGACGUGUCCGGACAAGCGCCGCAUUCCCGGUUGAUGUCUUCUUGACCAUCCAGAUUCCCUCUCCUUACAGGAGACAGCAGUUACAAUCCAGUCAAUCAAGAUGAAUGACCAUCCAAACGUCAGCCUGCUACAAAUUAUUCAUAAGCAGCGGAACAAGAGAGAGCGAGAUCAAACUAUUUACACAGCAAAUAAAAAGACAAAUCAGUAAUUGUAGCUGGAAGCCAACACUGGGCAGGCUCGGGAUACUAAAAAGGAGGUAAUGAGUUCUCACAAUCAAACUAAAAUUUAAAAUAAAAGCAUUAAAAAAAAAAUAUA